rnacentral:rRNA from 1 species
AGCGGCGGACGGGUGAGUAACACGUGGGUAACCUGCCCAAGAGACUGGGAUAACACCUGGAAGCAGAUGCUAAUAUCGGAUAACAACACUAGACGCAUGUCUAGAGUUUGAAAGAUGGUUCUGCUAUCACUCUUGGAUGGACCUGCGGUGCAUUAGCUAGUUGGUAAGGUAACGGCUUACCAAGGCAAUGAUGCAUAGCCGAGUUGAGAGACUGAUCGGCCACAUUGGGACUGAGACACGGCCCAAACCCCUACGGGAGGCAGCAGUAGGGAAUCUUCCACAAUGGACGAAAGUCUGAUGGAGCAACGCCGCGUGAGUGAAGAAGGGUUUCGGCUCGUAAAGCUCUGUUGGUAGUGAAGAAAGAUAGAGGUAGUAACUGGCCUUUAUUUGACGGUAAUUACUUAGAAAGUCACGGCUAACUACGUGCCAGCAGCCGCGGUAAUACGUAGGUGGCAAGCGUUGUCCGGAUUUAUUGGGCGUAAAGCGAGCGCAGGCGGAAAAAUAAGUCUAAUGUGAAAGCCCUCGGCUUAACCGAGGAACUGCAUCGGAAACUGUUUUUCUUGAGUGCAGAAGAGGAGAGUGGAACUCCAUGUGUAGCGGUGGAAUGCGUAGAUAUAUGGAAGAACACCAGUGGCGAAGGCGGCUCUCUGGUCUGCAACUGACGCUGAGGCUCGAAAGCAUGGGUAGCGAACAGGAUUAGAUACCCUGGUAGUCCAUGCCGUAAACGAUGAGUGCUAAGUGU